ensembl:snRNA Gm22078 predicted gene, 22078
GUGGUUGCUUCUGCAGCACAUUAAAAACUGGAACAUACAGAGAAGAUUAAUAUGUUCCCUGUACAAAGAUGGCAUGCAGAUUCAUGAAGUAUUCCAUAAUAUA